rnacentral:sRNA from 1 species
AUUGAAGGUUGACCCUGAAGUGAUGAAAAAUAAACCUCUUGCUUUUCCAUUGAUCUGCAUCUCGGUGUCUCACUCGGGGUUAUCUCGAAGAGGCGGAGUCCGAUGUCAGAAGACAGAAUGAGCCAAGUGAAAUAGUUCAGAGAAUCAUGGGACCCAUCCGUAAUCAACCAAAUUUUUCAGUGAAAUAUGAAGAGCAACGGUCCAGCAAAAGGGGAAUGUUAUUGGAGCAUGGAGCCUGGAAUCUGUUGUUGAGUAAUUCAGGGGUAGGUGGCCUGACCUUGUUCUAUCUCUUAAGGACAUUCAGAACUAUUACCUGGGUGUGAAGGCUGGAUACUGUUGCUGAGCCAUUGUCCUUACUUUAGGCCAAGUGGUGGGGCAGUUUCUGACUAGUUGCAUGAAGCCUCAGUUUUUAGUCCUAAUCUCUUGAACUGCCAAUUUGAGACCUGUCAUGGAGUCAGCCUGUCUCAUCAUUUCACCCUCAGUUUGGGCCAUCUCCAAUCCUUGAGAGAUUUUAAUAAAACUGUUCUGAAACAAACCAAACUAAAGCACUGAUUAUGCAGAGACAGUAAGUCCAAGCUAACAUCAGUAGAAUCUGGCAUGGAUUCUUUGACCACCCCUGAGCAGCCAACAUAGAAACAUCAUUCGUCAUCUAAGGCUGCACAGAGUCCUCCCUACUAGAGGAACAGCAAGUCUAGGCCUCUUCUGUUCUCUCAGACCACUUCUGUCAGGGAUGCACUAUUUCAUCUCCUAUUUUCCUGUAUCUAUCUCUAUCCGUAGGGCCUUGAAAUUUUUAUCUAGGAGUAUUAGGACUGAGGCACCUACAAUAGCAGCUCCAGCCAGCCCUAUAGGCCAAGGAGAGAACCUAGAAACACAACAGAAGUGACCUGAUUGUGUGGAGGUGCUAGCUGGCUGGAGACAUCCUACCCAGAGUAGUAAGUCAUUCUGGGUACAAGCUGUACUAGAACAUAAAAAUCCUCAGUUGCAUUUAUAGCCAGGCCAUAAAUGUAUGUAGUAAGCCCUGAAGUACGCGUUACAGUGCAGUGGCAGAGGUGGGAAUCAGUUGGGGAUAUCUUCUUUCCAAUGCAGAGUCCCUGUCUGGUAACCAACGGUUCUUUGUUAAGUCCAGGGAGAGAGGAGUUAAGAACCAGCAAUCUGAUCUGCCUUCUUGCCAGCCACUGUGAACUUGAUGACAAGGUUUGUAGCAUCUCCAUUGGGGGAAUCCAGAUAGUAAUGGGGUAGUGGCUGGUGCAGCAAAAUGUAGGCAGCAAGCAAGCAGGAUCACUGGAGUACUGGAGUCACAGUUUCAGUAUCAACAGGGUAUGGAGUGACCUUCCAUUGUUCCUGUUGCCUGGAAGUCUCCUGUGCUGGACCUUGACUGCUGGAUCGUCUCUCCUCGUAGGGUUAACACGAGAGUGAUGUAUCCACAUUCUGAUCCUGUCCACCUUAUCAGCCCUAUGUGUGGUCAGGAACACGAUGUAAGGCCCUUUCCAGCAAGGUUCCAGAGUCUUGUGGUUAUAUCUGUUAAUCCAGAUUUGUCACAUGGUUCAAAGUAAUGGGGGCUACGUAGAGGGACAAACUCAUAAACCUGGCUGAUGGAAGGCCAGAGUUGCGUGUAGAUCCUAUGGAGGGCUCCCAAGGAUUUUUAAAACGUUUGCUGGUCAUAUUCAGCUAAGAUACCGACUGGAGGUAGGGCAGCAUGGGAGGGGGCCUCCCAUAUAGGAUCUCAAAAAGCAGAGAAACCUAAAAUAUAGGCAGUGUUCCUAGCUGUAAAUAAGGCAUAAAGUAGGAGAGAUUCCCAGUCGCUGCCAGUUUCAGGUGUAGAUUUGGUAAAGGCCGCCUUCAGGGUCCGAUUCAUCCCUUCUACUUGCCCUGAACCAUGGGGAAGGUAUGCAUAAUAUAAUUUUCUAUUGGUUCCCCAGAAUCUCUACCUAUGGUAGAGGUGGAGUUACCUAAGAGAGGAAUGCUGGUUCAUUGUCAGACCGAAGCAGGGUAGGCAAACCAUAUCUGGGUAUGAUGUCCUCCAGAAGCUUUUUUUCCCACUAUUUUGGCAGACUCCCUCUCUGUGGGGUAGGCUUCAACCCAUCCUGAAAAGGUAUCCAUAACAAUUAGCAAAUACUUGUGUCCAUAAGUUCCUGGUUUUAUUUCUGUAGUCUAUUUCCCAAUUAGCCCCUGGCUGUUGACCCCUGAUUCUGGUUCCUGUAGUCUGAGGAGUUCACAGCCUGGCAGAUGGCUCAGUCUGAGAUUACCUGAUCAACCACGUGUCCUAAGUCAAAUAUUUUGUACCUUGCCCCUCACAAAAAUUACUUCAGUUUGCAGUGACCAACAGUGAAGUUUAAUGGAUCUGAUGGAUGACUGGCUUAGCAAACUUCUUAGGUAGGAUGGUGCAGCCUUCAGAGGUCAGCAACCGUCAGUCUCUUCUGAAAACUCCUUGGCAUUUCACCUGAUGUCGUUUGUCUUCAGUAGUAUACUCAGGGAUGGUUAGGAGUGCAUUGGGCAGCAAAGCUAUCAGGAGUUGGCAGCUUGAGUAGCCUCCCUUUUGGCUUUAUCAGCUAGCCUGUUCCCUCAGACAAUUUCUGAUGUCCCUGUCUGAUUGAUGCCCAGGGCAAUGAACUAUAGCCAUUUUGAGAGUGUUUUGAAUAAAGCAAGUAUUCCUUCCUUAUUUUUGAUGGUUUUUCCUUGGGCAGAUAUUAGUCCUAUCUGCUGUCAGUGUAAAUGUUGGCUAUGGCUCUUUUUGCCAGUCUUAAAGCCUGGGUAAGAGCCUUUUGCUCAGCUUUCUGAGCUGAAGUUCCCAGCAGCAAAUCAGUGGUCCAAAUAACAGGUCCAAGUCCACUACCACCACCCCUGCGUCCCUGACUCCAUUCUGGAUGAAGCUGCUCCUAUCCCUGUGGUACAUACGUUCCCCAUCAGCCUGACACUCUGGAUGUGCCCCAGAACUAUACAGAGAGCAAACAUGCUGCACAUCUGUGGCUGGGUCAGAGAGGAGGAUGGCUGGGUUUAGGGCAGAAGAUGGGUUAUAUCUUAUGUGAGGGGACUCAAAAGUAGAGCCUGAAAGUGCACCAACUGGGGUUCGACAGCCACUGGCUGGGUGGAUUCUUGAGGGUCCCCUCAGUAGCAUGGGGGAGGGGAGAUAGUGAUAACAAGUCCCUGACCCAUGGUUACGUUGCCAGCAUCUUUGACUAGAAGGACAGUGGCAGCUGUGGUCCAGAAGCAGGCUGGCCAUUUUUGGCCCACCGGGUCCAGCUUCUUAGAUAAAUCAGACUCAGGUCUUUUCUAUGAUCCCAAAGUUUGGGUGAGCACCCCCUUUGCUGUCCCCUCUCUCUGAUCCACAUACAGGUGAAAUGGUUUGUGACUCUCUAGGAGGGCCAAUGCUGCCAUCUCCAGUAAGGCUCUUCUUAGAGUCUUAAGAGCUACAUUCCUCUUAAGGGUCCAUCUACUUUGUUUUCUUGGUCCUGGAAGACCUCAUAAGGCUUUGGCUAGCUCAAGACCUUUGCACCCAAAGUCUACAAAACCUGUGAGAUCCCAGAAAUUCCUGUACUUGCUUUAGGGUUGUUGCAACUGGGAUGCUGAGGAUGGUUUGCUUCCAGGUGUCCAACAGCAUGUUGGCUGGCCCCCGUUGACUAUGCAUCCCAGAUAGGGGACCUCAAGAUGACAAAGCUGGGCCUGCCUUCUUAGCAGACACUGGGCAGCCAAGUUGUCUCAGUUCCUGUAGGAGUCUCAUGAGGCCUCCUGGCAUGUCUCCAAGCCGGGAGCCCUGCAAUACACACAGGACCACAGUUAUUUGGGGGUGGGCCCACAGGUGCUGACCCAAGUACUCAGGCAGUGCCUCCUCCAAGGUGAUAGGUUCAGAGACCAGAUCUUUUAAAUCCAGACUCCAUUUUAGAGAACCU